UGGGGGUUUGGGCUGGGGGGGACCCUGAUCCAGCCAUGCCGCGUGUGUGAAGAAGGCCUUAUGGUUGUAAAGCACUUUAAGCGAGGAGGAGGCUACUAGUAUUAAUACUACUGGAUAGUGGACGUUACUCGCAGAAUAAGCACCGGCUAACUCUGUGCCAGCAGCCGCGGUAAUACAGAGGGUGCGAGCGUUAAUCGGAUUUACUGGGCGUAAAGCGUGCGUAGGCGGCCAUUUAAGUCAAAUGUGAAAUCCCCGAGCUUAACUUGGGAAUUGCAUUCGAUACUGGAUGGCUAGAGUAUGGGAGAGGAUGGUAGAAUUCCAGGUGUAGCGGUGAAAUGCGUAGAGAUCUGGAGGAAUACCGAUGGCGAAGGCAGCCAUCUGGCCUAAUACUGACGCUGAGGUACGAAAGCAUGGGGAGCAAACAGGAUUAGAUACCCUGGUAGUCCAUGCCGUAAACGAUGUCUACUAGCCGUUGGGGCCUUUGAGGCUUUAGUGGCGCAGCUAACGCGAUAAGUAGACCGCCUGGGGAGUACGGUCGCAAGACUAAAACUCAAAUGAAUUGACGGGGGCCCGCACAAGCGGUGGAGCAUGUGGUUUAAUUCGAUGCAACGCGAAGAACCUUACCUGGCCUUGACAUACUAGAAACUUUCCAGAGAUGGAUUGGUGCCUUCGGGAAUCUAGAUACAGGUGCUGCAUGGCUGUCGUCAGCUCGUGUCGUGAGAUGUUGGGUUAAGUCCCGCAACGAGCGCAACCCUUUUCUUACUUGCCAGCAUUUCGGAUGGGAACUUUAAGGAUACUGCCAGUGACAAACUGGAGGAAGGCGGGGGACGACG
rnacentral:rRNA from 1 species